GAUUAAGCUCUAGGUCUAUUAGUGACCCCAAAGUGGAGUAAUGCUUUAAUUAUUUUUAUAAUUCUUGAGUAAUUUCCGUCUUUCCCAUUUGGAUGUAUUUGAUUUGUUUGCUACUGCUUCCUCAGACAGAACCUAGCAGAGUCCCUAGCACAUGGUAGGUGCUCAAUAAAUAAUUUUUGAAAGAAAGGUGAAUGGCAUGAGCUAACUGUGCCACUAGGCUGGUCCUCCAGAUCAAAGUAAAUCUUAAUCACUUUUGUGUUUCCAGUAUCUAACACUACUGUUUUGUUGAAUAUAGUUUUCCCUAUGAAAUUUUCUCACAAUCCUAGAAGUGGGCUUCUUGAGAGCAAUAAUUUGGUCUUUAAUCUUUACAUCCUAUAGUCUGGUUUUUAGCAUAUGCUCAAUAAAUGUUUACUAAAUUACUAUAUAACAUUUAGUAUAUACUUGGUAAAUGUAUAUGCAGAUGAUAACUUUGAAAAAUAGUCUUCUUUGAUAUUCCUUAAAGUUAUUUGAAAAUACUUGAGGCCGGGUGCAGUGGCUCACACCUGUAAUCCCAGCACUUUGGGAGGCCAAGGUGGGUGGAUCACCUGAGGUCAGGAGUUCAAGAUCAGCCUGGCCAACAUGGUGAAACCCUGUCUCUACUAAAAAUACAAAAAUUAGCCGGGCAUGACUGUGGGUGCCUGUAAUCCCAGCUACUUGGGAGGCUGAGGCAUGAGAAUCGCUUGAACCCAGGAGGUAGAGGUUGCAGUGAGCUAAGAUUGUGCCAUUGCACUACAGCCUGGGUGACAGAGCGAGACUCCAUCUCCAGAAAAAAAAAAAAAAAAAGAAAAUAUUUGAAAUUGAAAUAUUUUUGUCCUAGUGGAUAAUUAGUUUGACCUAAAGUAUAGUUUUUCUGAGUUUCAAAAAACAUAUGUGUGGAUAUAUUGAAUUAUUUUCUUUACACUUUCUUUGGGGAAUGAGCUUGAAAAAAAUUACCUAGGAAAAAUUAAUUGCAAUUAGAAGUGAACUUCACAUAGCAACCUAAACCCUAAUAAUAAUGUUUUUUCCUGAAUAUCUUGAACAAAAGUAAUUUUACUUCUUACUUGACAUUAAAUGGCGUAUUAGUUAAGAUUCUCACAUGUAAGUAACAGACACCCAACUCAGACUAGCUUAAACAGAAAAGUAACCAAAAAUGUGGCUUUAGAUCUGAAGAGAAUCAUAGACUUUGUUAAUAAGAUUUUCACUGAUUCAUGCCACUUCCUCAAAGAAGUCUUACUUUCCCUACCAAAGACUACUGGAAUACCUGUUCUACAUUUUCAUAACACCCUGCAUACCUCCUUCAUAUAACUUAUCACAAUUUUAAUUAUACAAAAAUUAUGUACUUAAUUGUUUAAUGUUUGUACCUGCUACUAGGCUGUAAGUUCCAGGAGGUGAGAGAUUAAGUCUGUCUUGUUUGCCCUGUCUCCAAAACAUCUAGCACAGGAUUUUUUACAUAACAAUACUUCAUAAAUAUUUGUUGAGUAAAUGAUUAAAAUUCUUUUUGAAAACUACUGAAAUUUGUAGGUCAGUAAAAUCUAGAGAAUUAUGCCUCAGAAAUUGCCAUUAAAUUUUUUAUUGAGAAAUGAAGCAAGCUCCUCUAUGCCAUAUAAAAAGAAAAAAUGUAACUACGUGGCAAUCCUUUUCUUAUAUUAGAAAAAGAAUUACUUCUUUCUGGAAGGUACAGAUGAUCUGGACAGAACAAGGAUUAUAGAAAGUACACUGAUGUGCUAGCUCUUUUGACAUAUGCUGUUGCCAUUUUACUUAUUUUUUAAAAGUUAAUUAAUUAAUCGAUCGAUUGAUUGAUUUUUAGAGAUGGAGUCUUGCUAUGUUGCCCAGGCUGGAAUGCAGUGAUAUGAUCAUGGCUCACUGCAACCUUGAACUCCUGGGGUCAAGUGAUUGUCCUGCCUCAGUCUUUCAAGUGUCUGGGACUAUAGGCAUACACCACCACACCCAGCUAAUUUUUAAAACAUUUUUUGUAGAGACAAUGUCUUGCUAUGUAUGUUCCCCAGGAUAGUCUCAAACUCUUGGCCUCAGGUGAUCUUUUGGCUUUGGCCUCAAAAAGUGCAUUUCACUUCUUGCGAAUUUUCAUCUAUUAAUAAACACAACUAAGUAUUCUCUGGUUUAGAUAACAAGGGAGAAUACAAAAAAAACUAAAAGAGGGUUAACUUUUCAUUUACAUAAUUUAACAUCUUUCAUGAUCUGUUUCUUUCUGCCUGUAAAACUAAGACCAAUCUAGAACAACUAUUUGAUUUCAUGGGACAUUAUGUACACUGUAUUUUCCUUUAGUUCUUAAAGGAAAUGACACUUCAGAAUUAAGAUCAUCAGAGACCAAACACAGAGACUAGGUCAAUUGUAAGUACUGACAUAAUGUAAAACAGCAAUUUGUAUUUCUGUUUUUUGUCAUUUAUUGCUGCGUAUUAGUCACAGUGAUUACUUUGACACGGGAAUGCUGAAGGCUUAACAAUUUUUUCCAGGAUUUCAAAUGUAGUUACCUUUUCUCUGAGCUAUCAAUAUAUGAGAGAUGACAUUUGAUGGUCAAUGCUUUUACCACAUCUUUAUGUUAAGAAAUGAAAUUGGAUACAAAUGCAUGUAUUUUUAUUAUAAGUUAAUAAACACAGAUUCCUAAACCAGUAAUAAGAAUUAUUUUGUAUUGUGAUGUUCAAAUUCCAUACUGUAAACAUGUAAAGAAAAAUAACACAAAUAUAUCAAGAGUCUUAUAAGCAAAUAGUUUAAAUGUGGUUUUUUUUUUUUUUUGCAUUUGGAAAAUGUUAAAUUUUAUUAUUUAAUAUUCUUUACCAUUAUAGUUACUGCACAUAAGACUAUUACUACUAAAGGUCACUUCAGAGUCACUGCAAAAUGGCCUGGAAUUUUGGCAGCACCCAUUUUACACAAUAUUUCUUUUUCCACAAAAUAACAGACAUACCAGGAAAAUCAUUUCAGCUAAAAAUAUGAGUGAGGUGGUAGAAAUAUCAUCCCUUAUAAAGCACAAUGUUAGAAUAGUACUUGAGAAAGCAGGAUUGUUUUAAGUUCCAAGAUUUAACAAACUUACUGUUCAGCAUCAUAUUCAAGCCUAAAAGGAAGAUAGGAUUUUCAAGAUAUAUUUCCAACUUCUUUAACAUGGCACCAUGGAUGAACUGUUUCUCAGCACUGUGCUGCUUAACUUGGAAUUAAGGAUGAAUUGGGAGGAGAUAGUAUGACAUAGGUAGGUAGGUUGGGUGGUGAGGGGAACCAGUUCUAAUAGUCCUCAACUCCACUCCAGCUGUUCCUGUUCCACACCGUCCACUGAGCUGGCCCAGUCCCUUUCACUCAGUGUGUCACCAAAGGCAGCUUCAAGGCUCAAUGGCAAGAGACCACCUAUAACCUCUUCACCUUCUGCUGCCUCUUUCUGCUGCCACUGACUGCCAUGGUCAUCUGCUAUAGCCGCAUUGUCCUCAGUGUGUCCAGCCCCCAGACAAGGAAGGGGAGCCAUGGUGAGACUCCAAUUCCCAGGCCUUAAUCCUUAACCCUAGACCUGUUGCCUCUAGCAUCAUUUAUUUAUCUACCUACCUAAUAGCUAUCUACCAGUCACUAAACCAUGGUGAGAUUCUAACCAUGUCUAGCACCUGAUGCUAGAGAUAAUUUUGUUGAAUCCCUUCAAUUAUAAACAGCUGAGUUAGCUGGACAAGGACUAGGGAGGCAAUGAGUAUUAUUUAUUCUUGAACACCAUCAAGUCUAGACUUGGUGGCUUCAUAUUUCUAUCAUAAUCCCUGGGGGUAAGAAAUCAUAUAGUCCCAGGUUGGGAAGGGGAAAACGGUUUGCAACAUUCUCCUCCUUGUAGGAGGUGAGCUCUGUCUCACUACCUAUGCCCCUCCAUCAAUUCACCCUAUACUCAGAUCAGAAGCUGAGUGUCUGAAUUACAGUAUAUUUUCUAAAUUCCUAGCCCCUGCUGGUGAAUUUGCCCUCCCCCGCUCCUUUGACAAUUGUCCCCGUGUUCGUCUCCGGGCCCUGAGACUGGCCCUGCUUAUCUUGCUGACCUUCAUCCUCUGCUGGACACCUUAUUACCUACUGGGUAUGUGGUACUGGUUCUCCCCCACCAUGCUAACUGAAGUCCCUCCCAGCCUGAGCCACAUCCUUUUCCUCUUGGGCCUCCUCAAUGCUCCUUUGGAUCCUCUCCUCUAUGGGGCCUUCACCCUUGGCUGCCGAAGAGGGCACCAAGAACUUAGUAUAGACUCUUCUAAAGAAGGGUCUGGGAGAAUGCUCCAAGAGGAGAUUCAUGCCUUUAGACAGCUGGAAGUACAAAAAACUGUGACAUCAAGAAGGGCAGGAGAAACAAAAGGCAUUUCUAUAACAUCUAUCUGAUCCUAACAGAGUAUGUAGGAACAGAAUAGUAAGUCUUUAGUGCCAUAAGAUCUUAACAUCUCACUUCUACUCCUGCUCUCCUAGUUCCCCCCAAAAAAGAAAUACUGACCAGUGUCUCUACUUUAAACCCUACCUGAAACUUGAGACUAUGUCUAAUAUAGAAACUCACAUAACUAGCCCAGGCAACACAGCAAGACCCCAUCUCUACCAAAAUAUGAAAAAAUUUAGCCGGGCAUGGUGGCAUGUGCCUGUAAUCCCAACUACUAGGGACAGUGAGGCAGAAGGAUGGCUUGAGCCCAAGAGUUUGAAGCUGCAGUGAGCUAUGAUCAGCUGCAAUCCACCCUGGGUAACACAGCAAGACUCUAUCUCAAAAAAAAGAAAAAAAAGAAAUACAUAGAGUUCAGUCCCUAGAAGUAUCUUCACAAUGAUCCAUACAGCCUUGCUAUGCUUUAGAACUUUCAAUUUUAGGACAGGAAAGUAACAUUAAAUGUAGAAAACAAAAAUGGAACAUUUAUUCGCAACUCAAAUACUACGCAUAUAGGGUAAGAGAUUAAAUAUAAACACAGCAAGUUCCACCCCAGUCCUAUUUGUCCAAGGCUGCAUGGUCAAAUGGAAUCUUGAAGAGAACACCUGGACAACAGAGGACCUGUCAGCGACGUCUCCGGUCUGGACUUCUGCUGCGUCUUCGGCCACCUCUCCUCUUGCCUUUUGGUGGACCCCGAACAAAACACCAGUCAAUGCUGAUGGGCCGUCCCAUCAAAUCCUGGCCAUUGAGUCCCUCCAUAGCAGCCUGGGCUUCCUUGUAUGUUUCAUAUUCAACUAGAGUAUACCCCUUCAGAUAUCCUGUUCGCCUGUUGAGGUUGAGGUGAAUGUUUUUAAUUUCCCCAUAUUCUGCGAAUUUGUCGUGUAUGUCUUCUUAGGUGGCUUCCUCAUGGACUCCAGCUACAAAGAGAAUCCAGCCUUCAACAGAGCGUUGUGGUCCGGGUUCAUCGCCAUCCUGCUCCACGCUGUCAUAAUCCUCACGCAUCCGCGCUCGGGACCCCUCUUCGGAGCCAAAGCCGCGACCCUUCUGUUUCUUCGCUUUUUCUUUCAGUUUGUGAAUGCUCUCGUCCCCAUCCUCAUCCAUGGCGAAAUCUUCGCCCCCAGCCUCGUGAAGAUCUAGCACGUCCGCCAUCUCGCCUUCGAUCGAGAUCUCGUCUGUGCCGCUCAGACACUAGACAUAAUACAGAUCAGAGGACCCAACUGAAGAAGCAAAACACAGAUUGACUUGAGG
rnacentral:lncRNA from 1 species